CAUAAAAUGGAUUGUAGUCUGUAACUCGACUGCAUUAAACAGGAAUUACUAGUAAUCGUGUAUCACUAUAUCACGGUGGAUUUAAUCUCACAUAGGUACUAACCACUCUAACCACGCCACGGUGAAUCUAAUCUCAGAUAGGUACUAACCACUCGUCAGGCACUGAAAGGAGUAUGUGCAAUAAGUUUGGUUUUUGUUAGGUUUUCUUAUUAUGAUUUUAUUUUAAAGUAUUUUUAUAGUAAUAGCUUAGCAGAUAAUCUUCGUAUGCGUGACCUUAAUUGGUGUUAAGUCGAAAUACGGUUCGUGUAGUGGAAAUUGCACGGGUUUAAUAAACAUU
rnacentral:ncRNA from 1 species